rnacentral:lncRNA from 1 species
CACACCUGUCACACACCUGUUACACACCUGUCACACACCUGUUACACACCUGUCACACACCUGUUACACCCCUGUUACACACCUGUUACACACCUGUCACACACCUGUCACACACCUGUUACACACCUGUUACACACCUGUUACACCCCUGUUACACACCUGUUACACACCUGUCACACACUUGUUACACACCUGUUACACACCUGUCACACACCUGUUACACACCUGUUACACACCUAUAACACACCUGUCACACCCCUGUUACACACCUGUUACACACCUGUCACACACCUGUUACACACCUGUCACACACCUGUUACACACCUGUUACACCCCUGUUACACACCUGUUACACACCUGUCACACACCUGUUACACACCUGUUACACCCCUGUUACACACCUGUUACACACCUGUCACACACCUGUUACACACCUGUCACACACCUGUUACACACCUGUCACACACCUGUCACACACCUGUCACACACCUGUCACACACCUGUUACACACCUGUUACACACCUGUUACACCCCUGUUACACACCUGUUACACACCUGUCACACACCUGUUACACACCUGUCACACACCUGUCACACACCUGUCACACACCUGUCACACACCUGUCACACACCUGUUACACACCUGUCACACACCUGUCACACACCUGUUACGCACCUGUCACACACCUGUCACACACCUGUCACACACCUGUCACACACCUGUCACACACCUGUCACACACCUGUCACACACCUGUUACACACCUGUCACACACCUGUCACACACCUGUCACACACCUGUCACACACCUGUCACACACCUGUCACACCCCUGUCACACACCUGUUACACACCUAUCACACACCUGUCACACACCUGUCACACACCUGUUACACACCUGUCACACACUUGUUACACACCUAUCACACACCUGUCACACACCUGUUACACACCUAUCACACACCUGUCACACACCUGUUACACACCUGUUACACACCUGUUACACACCUGUCACACCCCUGUUACACACCUGUUACACACCUGUCACACCCCUGUUACACACCUGUUACACACCUGUCACACACUUGUUACACACCUAUCACACACCUGUCACACACCUGUCACACACCUGUUACACACCUGUUACACACCUGUCACACCCCUGUUACACACCUGUUACACACCUGUCACACACUUGUUACACACCUAUCACACACCUGUCACACACCUGUUACGCACCUGUUACACACCUGUCACACACCUGUCACACACUUGUAACACACCUGUUACACACCUGUUACACACCUGUCACACACCUGUUACACACCUGUCACACACUUGUUACACACCUAUCACACACUUGUCACACACCUGUUACGCACCUGUUACGCACCUGUCACACACCUGUCACACCCCUGUCACACACUUGUUACACACCUAUCACACACCUGUCACACACCUGUUACGCACCUGUUACACACCUGUCACACACCUGUCACACACUUGUAACACACCUGUUACACACCUGUUACACACCUGUCACACACCUGUUACACACCUGUCACACACUUGUUACACACCUAUCACACACUUGUCACACACCUGUUACGCACCUGUUACGCACCUGUCACACACUUGUCACACACUUGUUACACACCUGUCACACACCUGUUACGCACCUGUCACACACCUAUCACACACUUGUCACACACCUGUUACACACCUGUCACACACCUGUUACACACCUGUCACACACUUGUUACACACCUAUCACACACUUGUCACACACCUGUUACACACCUGUCACACACCUGUUACACACCUGUCACACACUUGUAACACACCUAUCACACACCUGUUACACCCCUGUUACACACCUGUCACACACCUGUUACACACCUGUCACACACUUGUUACACACCUAUCACACACUUGUCACACACCUGUUACGCACCUGUUACGCACCUGUCACACACCUGUCACGCACCUGUUACGCACCUGUCACACACCUGUCACACACCUGUCACGCACCUGUUACGCACCUGUCACACACCUGUCACACACCUGUCACACACCUGUUACACACUUGUUACACACCUGUUACACACCUGUCACACACCUGUUACACACCUGUCACACACCUGUCACACACGUGUCACACACCUGUUACACACUUGUUACACACCUGUUACACACCUGUCACACACCUGUCACACACCUGUCACACACCUGUCACACACUUGUCACACACCUGUCACACACCUGUCACACACCUGUCACACACCUGUUACACACUUGUUACACACCUGUUACACACCUGUCACACACCUGUCACACCCCUGUUACGCACCUGUUACGCACCUGUCACACACCUGUUACACCCCUGUUCCACACUUGUCACACACCUGUCACACACCUGUCACACACCUGUCACACGCCUAUUACACACCUGUCACACAUGUGUCACACACUUGUCACACACCUGUCACACACCUGUCACACACCUGUCACACACCUGUUACACACUUGUUACACACCUGUUACACACCUGUCACACACCUGUCACACCCCUGUUACGCACCUGUUACGCACCUGUCACACACCUGUUACACCCCUGUUCCACACUUGUCACACACCUGUCACACACCUGUCACACACCUGUCACACGCCUAUUACACACCUGUCACACAUGUGUCACACACCUGUUACACACCUGUCACACACCUGUCACACACCUGUUACGCACCUGUCACACACCUGUCACACACCUGUCACACACCUAUUACACACCUGUCACACACCUGUUACACACCUGUCACACACCUGUCACACACCUGUUACACACCUGUCACACACCUGUUACACACCGGUUACACACCUGUCACACACCUGUCACACACCUGUCACACACCUGUUACACACCUGUCACACACCUGUCACACACCUGUCACACACCUGUUACACACCUGUCACACACCUGUCACACACCUGUCACACACCUGUCACACACCUGUUACACACCUGUCACACACCUGUCACACACCUGUUACACACCUGUCACACACCUGUUACACACCGGUUACACACCUGUCACACACCUGUCACACACCUGUCACACACCUGUCACACACCUGUCACACACCUGUUACACACCUGUCACACACCUGUUACACACCUGUCACACACCUGUCACACACCUGUCACACACCUGUCACACACCUGUUACACACCUGUUACACACCUGUUACACACCUGUCACACACCUGUCACACACCUGUCACACUGUUUUAUUGUUUUUGGUUUGA